rnacentral:rRNA from 1 species
UGACGAGCGGCGGACGGGUGAGUAAUGUCUGGGAAACUGCCUGAUGGAGGGGGAUAACUACUGGAAACGGUAGCUAAUACCGCAUAACGUCGCAAGACCAAAGUGGGGGACCUUCGGGCCUCAUGCCAUCAGAUGUGCCCAGAUGGGAUUAGCUGGUAGGUGGGGUAACGGCUCACCUAGGCGACGAUCCCUAGCUGGUCUGAGAGGAUGACCAGCCACACUGGAACUGAGACACGGUCCAGACUCCUACGGGAGGCAGCAGUGGGGAAUAUUGCACAAUGGGCGCAAGCCUGAUGCAGCCAUGCCGCGUGUGUGAAGAAGGCCUUCGGGUUGUAAAGCACUUUCAGCGGGGAGGAAGGCGGUGAGGUUAAUAACCUCAUCGAUUGACGUUACCCGCAGAAGAAGCACCGGCUAACUCCGUGCCAGCAGCCGCGGUAAUACGGAGGGUGCAAGCGUUAAUCGGAAUUACUGGGCGUAAAGCGCACGCAGGCGGUCUGUCAAGUCGGAUGUGAAAUCCCCGGGCUCAACCUGGGAACUGCAUUCGAAACUGGCAGGCUAGAGUCUUGUAGAGGGGGGUAGAAUUCCAGGUGUAGCGGUGAAAUGCGUAGAGAUCUGGAGGAAUACCGGUGGCGAAGGCGGCCCCCUGGACAAAGACUGACGCUCAGGUGCGAAAGCGUGGGGAGCAAACAGGAUUAGAUACCCUGGUAGUCCACGCUGUAAACGAUGUCGAUUUGGAGGUUGUGCCCUUGAGGCGUGGCUUCCGGAGCUAACGCGUUAAAUCGACCGCCUGGGGAGUACGGCCGCAAGGUUAAAACUCAAAUGAAUUGACGGGGGCCCGCACAAGCGGUGGAGCAUGUGGUUUAAUUCGAUGCAACGCGAAGAACCUUACCUGGUCUUGACAUCCACAGAACUUUCCAGAGAUGGAUUGGUGCCUUCGGGAACUGUGAGACAGGUGCUGCAUGGCUGUCGUCAGCUCGUGUUGUGAAAUGUUGGGUUAAGUCCCG